rnacentral:rRNA from 1 species
UGAGAAGGCCUUCGGGUUGUAAAGCUCUUUCAGCCGGAAAGAAAUCGCAUUCCUUAAUACGGGGUGUGGAUGACGGUACCGGAAGAAGAAGCACCGGCUAAAUACGUGCCAGCAGCCGCGGUA